AGUCGAACGGUGAACACGGAGCUUGCUCUGUGGGAUCAGUGGCGAACGGGUGAGUAACACGUGAGCAACCUGCCCCUGACUCUGGGAUAAGCGCUGGAAACGGCGUCUAAUACUGGAUAUGUGACGUGACCGCAUGGUCUGCGUUUGGAAAGAUUUUUCGGUUGGGGAUGGGCUCGCGGCCUAUCAGCUUGUUGGUGAGGUAAUGGCUCACCAAGGCGUCGACGGGUAGCCGGCCUGAGAGGGUGACCGGCCACACUGGGACUGAGACACGGCCCAGACUCCUACGGGAGGCAGCAGUGGGGAAUAUUGCACAAUGGGCGGAAGCCUGAUGCAGCAACGCCGCGUGAGGGAUGACGGCCUUCGGGUUGUAAACCUCUUUUAGCAGGGAAGAAGCGAAAGUGACGGUACCUGCAGAAAAAGCGCCGGCUAACUACGUGCCAGCAGCCGCGGUAAUACGUAGGGCGCAAGCGUUAUCCGGAAUUAUUGGGCGUAAAGAGCUCGUAGGCGGUUUGUCGCGUCUGCUGUGAAAUCCCGAGGCUCAACCUCGGGCCUGCAGUGGGUACGGGCAGACUAGAGUGCGGUAGGGGAGAUUGGAAUUCCUGGUGUAGCGGUGGAAUGCGCAGAUAUCAGGAGGAACACCGAUGGCGAAGGCAGAUCUCUGGGCCGUAACUGACGCUGAGGAGCGAAAGGGUGGGGAGCAAACAGGCUUAGAUACCCUGGUAGUCCACCCCGUAAACGUUGGGAACUAGUUGUGGGGGUCCAUUCCACGGAUUCCGUGACGCAGCUAACGCAUUAAGUUCCCCGCCUGGGGGAGUACGGCCGCAAGGCUAAAACUCAAAGGAAUUGACGGGGACCCGCACAAGCGGCGGAGCAUGCGGAUUAAUUUCGAUGCAACGCGAAGAACCUUACCAAGGCUUGACAUAUACGAGAACGGGCCAGAAAUGGUCAACUCUUUGGACACUCGUAAACAGGUGGUGCAUGGUUGUCGUCAGCUCGUGUCGUGAGAUGUUGGGUUAAGUCCCGCAACGAGCGCAACCCUCGUUCUAUGUUGCCAGCACGUAAUGGUGGGAACUCAUGGGAUACUGCCGGGGUCAACUCGGAGGAAGGUGGGGAUGACGUCAAAUCAUCAUGCCCCUUAUGUCUUGGGCUUCACGCAUGCUACAAUGGCCGGUACAAAGGGCUGCAAUACCGUGAGGUGGAGCGAAUCCCAAAAAGCCGGUCCCAGUUCGGAUUGAGGUCUGCAACUCGACCUCAUGAAGUCGGAGUCGCUAGUAAUCGCA
rnacentral:rRNA from 1 species